rnacentral:rRNA from 1 species
CGUGUAGGCGGUCUGUUAAGUCGGCUGUGAAAGCCCAGGGCUCAACCCUGGAAGUGCGGUCGAAACUGGCAGACUUGAGUACGGGAGAGGGUGGCGGAAUUCCCGGUGUAGAGGUGAAAUUCGUAGAUAUCGGGAGGAACACCAGUGGCGAAGGCGGCCGCCUGGACCGAUACUGACGCUGAGACGCGAAAGCGUGGGUAGCAAACAGGAUUAGAUACCCUGGUAGUCC